UCCACUUGCCACGCGCCGGAC
rnacentral:misc_RNA from 1 species